rnacentral:rRNA from 1 species
AACGUAGGGGACAAGCGUUAUCCGGAUUUACUGGGCGUAAAGCGCCCGUAGGCGGCCUGACAAGUUGGACGUGAAAGCUCCUGGCUUAACUGGGAGAGGCCGUUCAAAACUGUCAAGCUAGAGUCUGGAAGAGGAGAGCGGAAUUCCAGGUGUAGCGGUGAAAUGCGUAGAUAUCUGGAGGAACACCGGUGGCGAAGGCGGCAUCCUGGACCAACACUGACACUGAAAAGCGAAAGCCAGGGGAGCAAACGGG